GACGAACGCUGGCGGCGUGCUUAACACAUGCAAGUCGAACGAUGAAGCAAAGAAUCGAAGCUUCGGCAGAAAUUCAUUUCGGAUUAGUGGCAGACGGGGGAGUAACGCGUGAGCAACCUACCUCUUACAAAGGGAUAGCCUCGGGAAACCGGGAUUAAUACCAUAUAACAUUGUGACGAAGCAUUUCGAUGCAAUCAAAGCUACGGCGGUAAGAGAUGGGCUCGCGUCCCAUUAACCGGAUGGUGAGGUAACGGCUCACCAUAGUGACGAUGGGUAACCGGCAUGAGAGGGUGAACGGUCACACUGGAACUGAGACCCGGUCCAGACUCCUACGGGAGGCAGAAGUGGGGCAUAAUGCACAAUGGAGGGAACUAUGAUGCAGCGCCGACGCGUGAGUGAUGAAGGAAUUCGUGUCGUAAACCUCUGUUCUAUGGGAAGAAAAGGACUGUACCAUAGGAGAAAGCGACGGCUAAAUACGUG
rnacentral:rRNA from 1 species